rnacentral:rRNA from 1 species
GCAGCCGCGGUAAUUCCAGCUCCAAUAGCGUAUACUAAUGUUGUUGCAGUUAAAAAGCUCGUAGUCGGAUCUCAGUAGGCUCAGUUAAGUCUCUUCUAUUGAGUUCUUUAUGGGCCUGCUUCUUUGACAGAAACUUCUAUGUUAUUCAUUUAGCGUGGGUAGCGACUGUCUCUUUUACUUUGAGAAAAUUAGAGUGUUCAAAGCAGGUAUUCGCCUGAAUAUUACUCUUGGAAUAAUGCUAUAAGACUUUGGUUCUAAUGUAUUGGUGAUUGGGACCAGAGUAAUGAUUGAUAGGGACGGUUGGGGUCUUACGUACUGCAAAGCGAGAGGUGAAAUUCUUGGACCUUUGUAUGACGAACAACUGGGAAAGCAUUGGACUAGGACGUUCCCGUUGAUCAAGAACGAAAGU